rnacentral:tRNA from 1 species
GGACCUUUAGCUCAGUUGGUUAGAGCUACCGGCUCAUAACCGGUUGGUCCGGGGUUCGAGUCCCUGAAGGUCCACCA